rnacentral:rRNA from 1 species
GGAUUAGAUACCCUGGUAGUCCAUGCUGUAAACGAUGAUAACUAGCCGUUGGGCUCUUGAUGAGUUUAGUGGCGCAGCUAACGCGAUAAGUUAUCCGCCUGGGGAGUACGGCCGCAAGGCUAAAACUCAAAUGAAUUGACGGGAGCCCGCACAAGCGGUGGAGCAUGUGGUUUAAUUCGAUGCAACGCGAAGAACCUUACCUACACUUGACAUCCCUGGAAUUUGAUAGAGAUAUCUUAGUGCCUUCGGGAACCAGGUGACAGGUGCUGCAUGGCUGUCGUCAGCUCGUGUCG